rnacentral:rRNA from 1 species
CUCCAAGGCUAAAUACUCCUGAUUGACCGAUAGUGAACCAGUACUGUGAAGGAAAGGCGAAAAGAACCCCGGUGAGGGGAGUGAAAUAGAACCUGAAACCCUGUACGUACAAGCAGUAGGAGCGAGGGCAACCUUGUGACUGCGUACCUUUUGUAUAAUGGGUCAGCGACUUAUAUUUUGUAGCGAGGUUAACUGAAUAAGGGAGCCGAAGGGAAACCGAGUCUUAACUGGGCGUUGAGUUGCAAGGUAUAGACCCGAAACCCGGUGAUCUAGCCAUGGGCAGGUUGAAGGUUGGGUAACACUAACUGGAGGACCGAACCGACUAAUGUUGAAAAAUUAGCGGAUGACUUGUGGCUGGGGGUGAAAGGCCAAUCAAACCGGGAGAUAGCUGGUUCUCCCCGAAAUCUAUUUAGGUAGAGCCUUGAGCGGACACCUUCGGGGGUAGAGCACUGUUUCGGCUAGGGGUCCAUCCCGGAUUACCAACCCGAUGCAAACUGCGAAUACCGAAGAGUGAUACUCAGGAGACACACGGCGGGUGCUAACGUUCGUCGUGGAGAGGGAAACAACCCAGACCGCCAGCUAAGGUCCCGAAGUCUAUAUUAAGUGGGAAACGAAGUGGGAAGGCUUAGACAGCUAGGAUGUUGGCUUAGAAGCAGCCAUCAUUUAAAGAAAGCGUAAUAGCUCACUAGUCGAGUCGGCCUGCGCGGAAGAUGUAACGGGGCUCAAAUAUAGCACCGAAGCUGCGGCAUCAGAAUUUAUUCUGUUGGGUAGGGGAGCGUUGUGUAAGCGGAUGAAGGUGGCUCGAGAGGGUUGCUGGACGUAUCACAAG